rnacentral:rRNA from 1 species
UACGUAGGUGGCAAGCGUUGUCCGGAAUUAUUGGGCGUAAAGCGCGCGCAGGCGGUUAUGUAAGUCUGAUGUUAAAGCCCGGGGCUCAACCUCGGUUCGCAUUGGAAACUGUGUAACUUGAGAGCAGAAGAGGAAAGUGGUAUUCCACGUGUAGCGGUGAAAUGCGUAGAGAUGUGGAGGAAUACCAGUGGCGAAGGCGACUUUCUGGUCUGUAACUGACGCUGAGGCGCGAAAGCGUGGGGAGCAAACAGG